GCUGUCCCGAUGCGAGAGCUACCCUGGCUCGCUUAAAGCGACAAAUAGGGGCGCCCGUAGCGACGCGACUCAGAACCACCCUCGUCGCCUACCGCUCAAAAAAGAAGAAAAAGAAAAAACCUCGUCAGGGAAGCACGCCCCGAGCGCGGGCUCUGCCGCCGCCGCCACAAGCCUCCUCCACGCCUCCCCUCCGGUCCGCCCCCCUUUGCUCGUCGUCCCCACAUACCCGCCGCCGCCGCACGACGCAUGAGCCGCACGCCCGCACCCUGCCUCUUCGGAGUCGCCGCCGCCGCCCAGGCCGGGUGGUGAGGCUGGUGGUGGCUGUAGGUAGGUGAUGUAGAUGGAGAUGCGACGCUUGCGGCGGUGCCGGCCGGCUGAUAAUACGUGCAGGUUGCAGCAGCUAAUAGAGACGCUGUCUGUCUCUGUCUAGGAAACUCACUCAUCGCCUGAGAGACAAAUUGGUGAUUCCAUCCAUGGAUUGGUUUGGUUUGGUUGUUCCAUCGAUGAAUCCCAUGCACGUCGGUCUGAUUCACCUGGCUGGUCUCUUCCAUGCUCCGCCACCAUCAGCUUUCUCCACGCCUCGCAACCAUCAGCCUCCUUCACGCCGAUUGAAGAGCUGGCCUAAUCACAAAACACUCCACCACCAUCUGAAGGAAAAAAAAAAACCACCACCACCAGCCUCCCUGCUGCUCCGGCUAUGCGGCAGCUACCACUGCGACUCCUGCGCUCUGCGGCGGCCGGAUCACUCCGGAGCCCCACCCUCUCACGUGGCGGCUGUCCUGUCCCUCUAGCGCCACAUCUGUCGGCGGAGGCAGCCGCCACGCCGGCCGAGCUUGCCCGCUGGCUACCGCGGAGAGGGUACUCCCGGUUCGCGAGCGGAAUCACCCCCUUGGAGCCGAAGAAGCUGGGAUCCAUCCUCGACGUCGAGCGCGCCAAGGGCCUCUCCCCCGAACACCUCGUCGCGGCAUGGGAUGACUUUUCCAGGUGAAAAUCGUUUAACGGGACAUAUUAAUGGGUCGGAUGGGUAAGAUGGAUCGUGUGUGGAGAUAGGCAGGGAAAGCAAGAAAAGGGAAGGCAGAUGGAUAUUUGUGGGUUGGUAUGAGUUACGUGCUUUACUAGCUGUUAUAUAUAGCGUUUUGCAUCUGAUAAUCUGUCAUGCCCCUACCUGAAGGCAAGACAACUUGCUGUAUGCUUUUGUUUGGGCAAAGAAUCGAACCUGUAGGUUGGAAAAUAGCAGAAACAAGUAGGAUAUUUAGACCGUCUUGUCCGAUAUGUUGCAAAAACCAUGCAUUAUUUGCAUCAAGUGUGGGGAGGAACCUAAUAUCGUCCCUAGGAAUUUCUGUAUUCAAAAGGCUAGUGGCGUGACCAGUAAUCUCACAUAAUGUCCUGUUAGCCCAGAAAAUCAGCAAACUAAGUUUUGGCUUUGCCUAAUUAUCAUCCAAUUACUAAUUUUUGUAUGUCUUAUGCUGUUGACACUAAAGCAUUAUUUUGUAUCUACGCAUACUGCUUACUGCAUUUGUGUUGUUAACUUGAAUCCAUCCUGAGUUCCUGACAUUUCUUUUGUACAAUUUGUUUGUGUCGCUAUUCUUUUCGUGGAACAUUAGUACCACUUGGGAAGAGGUCAUAUAGGUGUAUCUAUUAAAGCAAAGCUUUACCGUCCCUUGGAACAAAGAUCGGCUACAUGGUACUCCCUCCAUUUUUGUAUACAAGGCCACUAUCAAAAUUACAAUUUGCAGCUAUACAAGGCCACUAACACCAAUCGAGAUAAAAUUGAUGAGAUUUGCCUCGUACUAGCAACUGAGGACAUUAAUACCCCUUGCAUGCAAAUGUUGGUUUGCAUGCACCACAUUAAUCAACCAACAAGGAGUGAGAGAGUUGUCUUGUUGUGCGUUGGAGAGAAAAAUACACAUUAAUUAACACGUCAAGCAAGGAGAAAAGUCUAGCUUGCAACAGUGGCUUAAGUAGCCAUUAAUUUCUACCUUGGUACCUGUAAUAUGGGUUUGUGGCCUUGUAUACAAAAAUGGAGGUAGUAUUUAUUUGUUGGUUGGAGUUUUGAUUGCAUCACCAUGAUUGUUUUCUGAACUAUUUAUUUUCUUAACUAAUUUGAUCUUUUUUGUAGCCCAUAUUUUGUUAUUCCUUUGUGGAGAGGAAGUGGAUGUACCACCAUGUUUAUGCAAGGUCGCUGCCCUCUGCUCUCUCGCGACCACGCCCUCGGGGCAGUUUUCCAUUGCCCAGCGCCCCACACCUCGCCCCACCUCUUCCCUCCCCGCCAGCCACCGCCUGCCUCCAUCUGCACGCGUCGCCGGACCGCCGCGUCCACGCGUAGCCCGGACUGCCGCCCACGCUCCAAGCGCCCGGUCUGCCACGCCCACGCUUGAGGUGCCCAGGCCGCCCCAUCCACGCUCCAGGCGGACCGCGGCGCCCACGCUCGAGGCUCCCGGGCCGCCCCGUCCAUGCUCCAGGCGGACCACGGCGCCAUAGCUCCAGGCGCCCGGACCGCCACGCUCACGCUCCAGCCGCUCGGGCCGCCGCGUCCAUGCACCGCCCGGACACAGGCACCGCCGGUCCUCCACACUGCAGGAUGAGCAAGAGUAAUCCAGACAAAGUUCCAGGAAUGACUACGCAUCGUUCCCCAUUUAAAGACAUAACGAACUCGUCUAUGAUUGAGAAUGCAAAUGUCACUACUAAUAGUCAAGAAGCAAAAAAGAAUACAUCGUAUGCCCGAAUGUCUGAUGAGAAGAGAGCAGCAUUCCUUGAAAAACGUCGUAUGUCCCGACAAGAAAAGAAGUCUCAGGCUCUGAAUAUUGUUAAUGGUCAACUAACAGUUGAGGCACAUGCUCUGUUAGGAUCCAAGGAAUGUACACCUUUGAGAAACAUAACCAACACACACACAAAUGGUAUGUUCAUACUCUGCAUAUCAUAAUUAUUGAAUGACCAUUUGCUCAUUUUGCUAGGAGGUUUGUCUCCUGCGUUGUGUCAGAUGCAACAUGUACUGAAGCCGCAGGACACCCUUGAACAGCGGGAUCUGCCGCCUCCCUUGGACUUCGCCGGCAAGGCGUGAUCCGUCGUCGCCACCCACUCCUCCCAUGGGAGGAUGCGGCUGCUAUCAUCAACCUCCGCUCCAUGGGCGUGCUCCCAAAUUCAAUAUGUUAGAUUUGCAGAGACUGAUGUUGCAUGACGCAAGAAGAAACAUGUGGUUCUGUUGCGAAUCACCGCAGCGAUGCAGUGCCAUGGAAGCUGGAGAAUUUUUAUCUACUAUACUUGUUCGUUGCCUGCAUCAUAUUGCAGUUCCAAAGUCCACAUAAGGAAUUUUAAAUAAUACAUAAUUCAUUGGCGUGUACUCUGUCAUAGGAUGUUGCUUUACAUUUUGGGCGCACCAUGUUUUAACUCAGCUAGGCGCUUCGACGAGGGUGUGUCAAAACUCAGCUAGGCGCUUCGGUGUCAACUGGUAAGAAGUUAGUGCCGUAGGAAGCUAGAUAAUUGGUGACAUGUAUAGCAUCAUAAUUUGUAAACUACAACUUAGUGAUUUUGUUUUAGAGGUAACAAUUGCGGUAUCAUAUUCACUGAUUGUUUUUUCAUAAAAUAGUUCAUUGGGUGCUAGCUAUCCCUGAAGACUGGUUGUUGUACAUACUGGCUGCUGUACAUAUUUCAGAAUAUUUGGCUGCUUGCUAGAGAGUGCAUACUGGCUGGUGUACAAAUUUCAGAAUAUUUGCAGUACAUAAAUAUCUUAUGAUGUUAAAAAUUCACAGUGGUUCCUUCACUACCCUCCUCAUUCGGUGUUCCACCUCACCACUCCCCAGCAGUGGGAGCAGAGCAGCCGACGGGUUCCUGGCUUACCUGCCUCACAAAGAGUGAAAUGGUCUUUUUUGUCCCAGUAAAGGUUGGAGGUAGAAUCAGCUUCAAUCUCGAGUACCCAAUUGUAGAGAAGACGAAAGGAGGCACAACAUAUAUGGAAGUACGAACUCUGGCAGUAACAAUUUUAUGUUUCCAAGUUAGGUUGAUGAUAUUCAACUUAAUAGAACCCAAACUUUUGUUGUUGAGUUCAAUAUACAGUGUCCCGUGUAUAGUUUUUAAGGUGUCAUGUUUCUCAAGAGAAUACAUCUGCACGUAAGGAACUAGCUACCAGUAUCAAUCUAAAUGAACAAGCUCA